GGUUUCAUGGUGUAAUGGCUAGCGCGCUGGACUUUGAAUCCAGUGAUCCGAGUUCAAAUCUCGGUGGAACCU
rnacentral:tRNA from 1 species